rnacentral:rRNA from 1 species
AUACGUAGGGUGCGAGCGUUGUCCGGAAUGAUUGGGCGUAAAGGGCGCGUAGGCGGCGCGGUAAGUCUGGAGUGAAAGUCCUGCUUUCAAGGUGGGAAUUGCUUUGGAUACUGCCGCGCUUGAGUGCAGGAGAGGUUAUCGGAAUUCCCGGUGUAGCGGUGAAAUGCGUAGAGAUCGGGAGGAACACCAGUGGCGAAGGCGGGUAACUGGACUGCAACUGACGCUGAGGCGCGAAAGUGUGGGGAGCAAACAGGAUUAGAUACCCUGGUAGUCCACACUGUAAACGAUGAAUGCUAGGUGUAAGAGGUAUCGACCCCUUUUGUGCCGGAGUCAACACAAUAAGCAUUCCGCCUGGGGAGUACGGCCGCAAGGUUGAAACUCAAAUGAAUUGACGGGG